GUUUGAUCCUGGCUCAGAACGAACGCUGGCGGCAGGCUUAACACAUGCAAGUCGAGCGCCCCGCAAGGGGAGCGGCAGACGGGUGAGUAACGCGUGGGAAUCUACCUUUUGCUACGGAAUAACUCAGGGAAACUUGUGCUAAUACCGUAUGUGCCCUUCGGGGGAAAGAUUUAUCGGCAAAGGAUGAGCCCGCGUUGGAUUAGCUAGUUGGUGGGGUAAAGGCCCACCAAGGCGACGAUCCAUAGCUGGUCUGAGAGGAUGAUCAGCCACACUGGGACUGAGACACGGCCCAGACUCC
rnacentral:rRNA from 1 species